UACAGGCUUAACACAUGCAAGUCGAGGGGCAGCAUGGUCUUAGCUUGCUAAGGCCGAUGGCGACUGGCGCACGGGUGAGUAACACGUAUCCAACCUGCCGUCUACUCUUGGACAGCCUUCUGAAAGGAAGAUUAAUACAAGAUGGCAUCAUGAGUCCGCAUGUUCACAUGAUUAAAGGUAUUCCGGUAGACGAUGGGGAUGCGUUCCAUUAGAUAGUAGGCGGGGUAACGGCCCACCUAGUCUUCGAUGGAUAGGGGUUCUGAGAGGAAGGUCCCCCACAUUGGAACUGAGACACGGUCCAAACUCCUACGGGAGGCAGCAGUGAGGAAUAUUGGUCAAUGGGCGAGAGCCUGAACCAGCCAAGUAGCGUGAAGGAUGACUGCCCUAUGGGUUGUAAACUUCUUUUAUAAAGGAAUAAAGUCGGGUAUGGAUACCCGUUUGCAUGUACUUUAUGAAUAAGGAUCGGCUAACUCCGUGCCGGCAGCCGCGGUAAUACGGAGGAUCCGAGCGUUAUCCGGAUUUAUUGGGUUUAAAGGGAGCGUAGAUGGAUGUUUAAGUCAGUUGUGAAAGUUUGCGGCUCAACCGUAAAAUUGCAGUUGAUACUGGAUAUCUUGAGUGCAGUUGAGGCAGGCUGAAUUCGUGGUGUAGCGGUGAAAUGCUUAGAUAUCACGAAGAACUCCGAUUGCGAAGGCAGCCUGCUAAGCUGCAACUGACAUUGAGGCUCGAAAGUGUGGGUAUCAAACAGGAUUAGAUACCCUGGUAGUCCACACGGUAAACGAUGAAUACUCGCUGUUUGCGAUAUACUGCAAGCGGCCAAGCGAAAGCGUUAAGUAUUCCACCUGGGGAGUACGCCGGCAACGGUGAAACUCAAAGGAAUUGACGGGGGCCCGCACAAGCGGAGGAACAUGUGGUUUAAUUCGAUGAUACGCGAGGAACCUUACCCGGGCUUAAAUUGCAGAUGAAUUACGGUGAAAGCCGUAAGCCGCAAGGCAUCUGUGAAGGUGCUGCAUGGUUGUCGUCAGCUCGUGCCGUGAGGUGUCGGCUUAAGUGCCAUAACGAGCGCAACCCUUGUUGUCAGUUACUAACAGGUCAUGCUGAGGACUCUGACAAGACUGCCAUCGUAAGAUGUGAGGAAGGUGGGGAUGACGUCAAAUCAGCACGGCCCUUACGUCCGGGGCUACACACGUGUUACAAUGGGGGGUACAGAGGGCCGCUACCACGCGAGUGGAUGCCAAUCCCAAAAACCUCUCUCAGUUCGGACUGGAGUCUGCAACCCGACUCCACGAAGCUGGAUUCGCUAGUAAUCGCGCAUCAGCCACGGCGCGGUGAAUACGUUCCCGGGCCUUGUACACACCGCCCGUCAAGCCAUGGGAGCCGGGGGUACCUGAAGUGCGUAACCGCGAGGAGCGCCCUAGGGUAAAACUGGUGACUGGGGC
rnacentral:rRNA from 1 species